rnacentral:rRNA from 1 species
UCCUACGGGGGGCAGCAGUGGGGAAUAUUGGACAAUGGGCGAAAGCCUGAUCCAGCCACGCCGCGUGUGUGAUGAAGGUCUUCGGAUCGUAAAGCACUGUGGGGAGGGACGAAAAGCAGCGGGCUAAUACCUCGCUGUCAUGACGGUACCUCCUUAGCAAGCACCGGCUAACUCCGUGCCAGCAGCCGCGGUAAUACGGAGGGUGCAAACGUUGCUCGGAAUCAUUGGGCGUAAAGCGCGUGUAGGCGGCCAGUUAAGUCGAGUGUGAAAGCCCUGGGCUUAACCCAGGAAGUGCGCUCGAAACUGGCUGGCUUGAGUACGGGAGAGGGUAGCGGAAUUCCCGGUGUAGAGGUGAAAUUCGUAGAUAUCGGGAGGAACACCAGUGGCGAAGGCGGCUACCUGGACCGAUACUGACGCUGAGACGCGAAAGCGUGGGUAGCAAACAGGAUUAGAUACCCCGGUAGC